rnacentral:rRNA from 1 species
AUUGAACGCUGGCGGCAUGCCUUACACAUGCAAGUCGAACGGUAACGGGCCUUCGGGUGCCGACGAGUGGCGAACGGGUGAGUAAUACAUCGGAACGUGCCCGAUCGUGGGGGAUAACGAGGCGAAGGCUUUGCUAAUACCGCAUACGAUCUACGGAUGAAAGCAGGGGACCGCAAGGCCUUGCGCGGACGGAGCGGCCGAUGGCAGAUUAGGUAGUUGGUGGGAUAAAAGCUUACCAAGCCGACGAUCUGUAGCUGGUCUGAGAGGAUGAUCAGCCACACUGGGACUGAGACACGGCCCAGACUCCUACGGGAGGCAGCAGUGGGGAAUUUUGGACAAUGGGCGCAAGCCUGAUCCAGCCAUGCCGCGUGCAGGAUGAAGGCCUUCGGGUUGUAAUCUGCUUUUGUACGGAACGAAAAGCCUUCUUUUAAUACAGGAGGGUCAUGACGGUACCGUAAGAAUAAGCACCGGCUAACUACGUG